UGGGGAAUUUUGCACAAUGGGCGCAAGCCUGAUGCAGCGACGCCGCGUGAGGGAUGAAGGCCUUCGGGUUGUAAACCUUUUUCGCUCAUGGUCAAGCCGCAGCUUUGGGUUGUGGUGAGGGUAGUGGGUAAAGAAGCGCCGGCUAACUACGUGCCAGCAGCCGCGGUAAUACGUAGGGCGCGAGCGUUGUCCGGAAUUAAUGGGCGUAAAGGGCUUGUAGGCGGUUGGCCGCGUCUGCCGUGAAAUCCUCUGGCUUAACUGGGGGCGUGCGGUGGGUACGGGUUGACUUGAGUGCGGUAGGGGAGACUGGAAUUCCUGGUGUAGCGGUGGAAUGCGCAGAUAUCAGGAGGAACACCGGUGGCGAAGGCGGGUCUCUGGGCCGUUACUGACGCUGAGGAGCGAAAGCGUGGGGAGCGAACAGG
rnacentral:rRNA from 1 species